GACGAACGCUGGCGGCGUGCUUAACACAUGCAAGUCGUACGGUAAGGCCCUUUCGGGGGUACACGAGUGGCGAACGGGUGAGUAACACGUGAGUAACCUGCCCACAACUUUGGGAUAACGCUAGGAAACUGGUGCUAAUACUGGAUAUGUGCCCCUGCUUCAUGGUGGUGGUUGGAAAGCUCCGGCGGUUGUGGAUGGACUCGCGGCCUAUCAGCUUGUUGGUGGGGUAGUGGCCUACCAAGGCGGCGACGGGUAGCCGGCCUGAGAGGGUGACCGGCCACAUUGGGACUGAGAUACGGCCCAGACUCCGACGGGAGGCAGCAGUGGGGAAUAUUGCACAAUGGGCGCAAGCCUGAUGCAGCAACGCCGCGUGCGGGAUGACGGGCUUCGGGUUGUAAACCGCUUUCAGCAGGGACGAAGCUUUUUGUGACGGUACCUGCAGAAGAAGCACCGGCUAACUACGUG
rnacentral:rRNA from 1 species